rnacentral:tRNA from 1 species
GGCCCCGUAGCUUAGUCUGGUGGAGCGCACGACUGAUAAUCGUGAGGUCCCGUGUUCAAAUCACGGCGGGGCCA